rnacentral:tRNA from 1 species
GGCCCCGUAGCUCAAUGGUAGAGCGGCAGUCUUAUAAGCUGCGAAAGCACCCGAUUAGUGCACGAUCCCGGUUCAAGUCCGGGCGGGGCUACCA